rnacentral:rRNA from 1 species
AGCUCCAAUAGCGUAUAUUAAAGUUGUUGCAGUUAAAAAGCUCGUAGUUGGACUUCUGAUGUGAGAGAUCGGUCCACCGCAAGGUGAGCACUGAUUCUUCGCGUCUUCCUCUCGUAGUUGUUUCGCGCACUUAGUUGGGUGCGAGAUGAAUAUGGGACCUUUACUUUGAAAAAAUUAGAGUGUUCAAAGCAGGCAAUCGCUUGAAUACAUUAGCAUGGAAUAAUAGAAUAGGACUUUGGUUCUAUUUUGUUGGUUUCUAGGACCGAGGUAAUGAUUAAUAGGGACAGUUGGGGGCAUUAGUAUUUAAUUGUCAGAGGUGAAAUUCUUGGAUUUAUGAAAGACUAACUACUGCGAAAGCAUUUGCCAAGGAUGUUU